rnacentral:rRNA from 1 species
AUUGAACGCUGGCGGCAUGCCUUACACAUGCAAGUCGAACGGCAGCACGGACUUCGGUCUGGUGGCGAGUGGCGAACGGGUGAGUAAUGUAUCGGAACGUACCCUUCAGUGGGGGAUAACUAUCCGAAAGGAUAGCUAAUACCGCAUAUUCUCUGAGGAGGAAAGCGGGGGAUCGCAAGACCUCGCGCUGAUGGAGCGGCCGAUAUCAGAUUAGCUAGUUGGUGGGGUAAAGGCCUACCAAGGCGACGAUCUGUAGCGGGUCUGAGAGGAUGAUCCGCCAAACUGGGACUGAGACACGGCCCAGACUCCUACGGGAGGCAGCAGUGGGGAAUUUUGGACAAUGGGGGCAACCCUGAUCCAGCCAUGCCGCGUGAGUGAAGAAGGCCUUCGGGUUGUAAAGCUCUUUCGGCCGGGAAGAAAUCGCGUGAGUUAAUACCUUGCGUGGAUGACGGUACCGGAAUAAGAAGCACCGGCUAACUACGUGCCAGCAGCCGCGGUAA